CAGUAGCCACGGUAAUGCGUAGGUGGCAAGCGUUGUCCGGAAUUAUUGGGCGUAAAGGGCUCGCAGGCGGUUUCUUAAGUCUGAUGUGAAAGCCCCCGGCUCAACCGGGGAGGGUCAUUGGAAACUGGGAAACUUGAGUGCAGAAGAGGAGAGUGGAAUUCCACGUGUAGCGGUGAAAUGCGUAGAGAUGUGGAGGAACACCAGUGGCGAAGGCGACUCUCUGGUCUGUAAUUGACGCUGAGGAGCGAAAGCGUGGGGAGCGAACAGGAUUAGAUACCCGUGUAGUCCCUGUCUCUUAUAC
rnacentral:rRNA from 1 species